UACGUGGGGUGCAAGCGUUAAUCGGAAUUACUGGGCGUAAAGCGUGCGCAGGCGGUUUUGUAAGUCUGUCGUGAAAGCCCCGGGCUUAACCUGGGAAUUGCGAUGGAGACUGCAAGGCUUGAAUCUGGCAGAGGGGGGUAGAAUUCCACGUGUAGCAGUGAAAUGCGUAGAGAUGUGGAGGAACACCGAUGGCGAAGGCAGCCCCCUGGGUCAAGAUUGACGCUCAUGCACGAAAGCGUGGGGAGCAAACAGG
rnacentral:rRNA from 1 species